UCCAGACUCCUACGGGAGGCAGCAGUGGGGGAUAUUGCACAAUGGGGGGAACCCUGAUGCAGCGACGCCGCGUGGGUGAAGGAGCGUUUCGGCGCGUAAAGCCCUAUCGGCAGGGAAGAAGGAGGACGGUACCUGACUAAGAAGCCCCGGCUAACUACGUGCCAGCAGCCGCGGUAAUACGUAGGGGGCAAGCGUUAUCCGGAUUUACUGGGUGUAAAGGGGGCGCAGACGGCAGCGCAAGCCAGGAGUGAAAGCCCGGGGCCCAACCCCGGGACUGCUCUUGGAACUGCGCGGCUGGAGUGCAGGAGGGGCAGGCGGAAUUCCUGGUGUAGCGGUGAAAUGCGUAGAUAUCAGGAGGAACACCGGUGGCGAAGGCGGCCUGCUGGACUGCGACUGACGUUGAGGCCCGAAAGCGUGGGGAGCAAACAGGAUUAGAUACCCCCGUACUG
rnacentral:rRNA from 1 species